GACGAACGCUGGCGGCGCGCCUAACACAUGCAAGUCGAACGGAGAUUAAGAGCUUGCUCUUAAUCUUAGUGGCGGACGGGUGAGUAACACGUGAGCAACCUGCCUUAAAGAGGGGGAUAACGUCUGGAAACGGACGCUAAUACCGCAUAAUAUUCUGUGCCGGCAUCGGUGUGGGAUCAAAGGAGCAAUCCGCUUUAAGAUGGGCUCGCGCCCGAUUAGAUAGUUGGUGAGGUAAUGGCUCACCAAGUCUGCGAUCGGUAGCCGGACUGAGAGGUUGAUCGGCCACAUUGGGACUGAGACACGGCCCAGACUCCUACGGGAGGCAGCAGUGGGGGAUAUUGCACAAUGGGGGAAACCCUGAUGCAGCGACGCCGCGUGAGUGAAGACGGUCUUCGGAUUGUAAAGCUCUGUCGAGGGGGAAGAUAAUGACGGUACCCCUCAAGAAAGCCACGGCUAACUACGUGCCAGCAGCCGCGGUAACAC
rnacentral:rRNA from 1 species